CAAUAAACGAUGAUAAGAAAUAGUAACGGUUUUAAUAAACGUAGAGACUUCUUGGUUGGUGAAAAAGAAGAUUGGCAAAACUGUGAACACGUCUUGGAGUUAUGAAGGUGAACGUAAGUAGUCUUCAUCGGUGUCCCUGCAACCGUUAUCUUGCUAGAGUAUGAUAGUACUCGAAGAGGUUGGUGCUGCGAAGUACCAAUAAAAAAAGGUGGAACCACGUAAGGUAAACUUUCGUCCUUUGG
rnacentral:ncRNA from 1 species